rnacentral:rRNA from 2 species
UGGGGAAUAUUGCACAAUGGAGGGAACUCUGAUGCAGCGACGCCGCGUGAACGAAGAAGGCUUUCGAGUCGUAAAGUUCUUUUAUAUGGGAAGAUAAUGACGGUACCAUAAGAAAAAGCCCCGGCUAACUACGUGCCAGCAGCCGCGGUAAUACGUAGGGGGCUAGCGUUGUCCGGAAUUACUGGGCGUAAAGGGUUCGCAGGCGGAAAUGCAAGUCAGGUGUAAAAGGCAGUAGCUUAACUACUGUAAGCAUUUGAAACUGCAUAUCUUGAGAAGAGUAGAGGUAAGUGGAAUUUUUAGUGUAGCGGUGAAAUGCGUAGAUAUUAAAAAGAAUACCGGUGGCGAAGGCGACUUACUGGGCUCAUUCUGACGCUGAGGAACGAAAGCGUGGGUAGCAAACAGG